GGAAGUCCGGGAGAGCGGGAGGAUUACGACGACCUCAUAUUACGGGUGGGAGUGGAAGUGGGAGUGGGUGGACCUCCGUGGGGAGCCAGCGUGGAUAGAGUGCUGGGGUCAUCUCCCCGCCCCCUCCGCACGGCCAACACCGAGGUGACUUAAGGUGCCUAGUGUCGGUGUGAGGUCCAGGUUUAAAAUGUCAUCCCCGCCAGUGUGACAUCACCACCGCCUAGUGUGACACGUCCAGAGACUGAGCAGCGCGCGGGGAGGCAGCUGGUCAUUUUGAGGAUUGGGUUCCAGCAGAAGUGAUGGCUUUGGCCGAACAUGAGCUUGGGUGAAGACUAUGCCUGUGGGGUUAAAGAGAAAGAGUCAAGGACUUCCCUGGUGGCACAGCAGAUAGGAAUUCACCUGCCGAUGCAGGGGAAAUUGGUUCGAUCCCUGGUUCGGAAAAAUCCUGUAGGCAACUAAAGCCUGUGCACCACAACUGCUGAAGCCUGUGUGCCUAGAGCCUGUGCUCUCCAACAAGAGAAGCCACCACAGUGAGAAGCCUGUGUACUGCAGCCAAGAACGGGAAAGUGACUCCAGAGCGAGGUGGCGGUGCACAACACUGUGAAUGCAUUAAAUGCCACUGAAUUGUACACUUAAAAAUAGUUGUUUGUUAUGCGAAUUUCACCUCAGUUUUUUUUUUUAAAAGGAGGAUGAAAGUUUGCAGGAUUUAGAAAUAAUGGGUAAAAGACUUCACCCCUAAUUUUUCUGAUUUUCAAGAGUCAACCCAGAGACUCUUCUGGGAGAAGAGCAAAUGCCUUAACCACUUACACAACAAUUAUGAGGGAAGGAGGGUUUGAGGUUUCAUUUCUGUUUCCUCCCUUAUCCACACAUAACCAUCGUCCUGUCUCUCAUUUUCUUCAUAUACUAGAUCUUUAUUCAGCAAAACCAAGGGAUAGUGCUUUUCUCUCCUUUUACCUGGAUCAGCAUCAUUCCUCAUUAUCAUGCCUCCAUCAUUUCCUAGCUUUUCACCUUUUCUUUGACCAACUGUUACAUGCAUGAGCUUUUAUCACUUUCAUUCCAUAUGUCAUUCCCUAUCAUCAGUUCUAAGCAAAAGCCAAAACAAAUGCUGGAAGAAUGCACACAAAGACCCACAAGGGAGAGGGCAAUAAAUCAGGACAGGACCUCAAAUUUUAAUAACUGAUUAUUACUUAUGCUGUGUCAUUUUGCAGUUCCUACAAACUCUGAAAUCAAAAAGACCUUAAUGAAAUAUCCCUUGCCUAACACAAUUCCUGAUAUGUGGUCGGUAAUAAUAGCUAUUUUGCUGAGUAAAUUACUGAGUGUUUAUUCAUAGUACUCAAAGCAUCAGAAUUCAGUAAACUAUAGAAUAGAGUUUAAGAAAUUUCAAAAUAGCAGUCUUUACCUUUUUGGCCAUGCAUUUAACUGAUUUUUUUUCUAUUAUUGCUUUUGGAAACUCAUUUGUAUAAAAUCUGUAAGUUGUCAUCAAGUGAUUAGCAAGUGGUUCUCUCUGGUGGGGGUAGGGGAGCUGCCCUAUCAAAACAAACCAUAGAGGGUAAAUUUUCUGAUGCGAAAUAGGGCUUCUGCCUGAUCAACCUCAGUGCUCCGAGAAUGUCCAGUAUAAACAAAAAGCAUGGGCUUUGGAGCUUAAUGUCACUAGGAAUCCUAACUCUUCUGGUUACGAGGGUAUGAUAGUGGGUCUGCUCAUGAGCCUCACUUAUCUCAUCCUUAAAAUGGAGAUGGUAAUAAUACCUUUUCUGUACCUCCCUCAUUCUGUCCAUUGGAAAAUUUCUUCAAUGUUACUUUCAAAAAAUAUCCUGAAAUCCACUACCAUUCAUCUCCACUGAUAACUGUCUACAAAAUCAGAAAGUCUCUGACAAGUAGAAUAUAGAAUAAUAACAAAUAUGGAUUUGUCAGUCCUAUCUUGAUUUAAAAGUGCAGGUUUUAAUUAUGUAUGUACUGACUAAGAGCCUUGCAGCAAGAGACUGCUCUUUCGUGAACCAAAAUUGCCUGCUCAUUCAGGUGCUUUUCCGUAAGGACAUAAAGUAUCACUACUUGGUGAAUUAAACAGAAAGGAUUAAAUCAAACUAAAUAUGGUAAUGCUGUGUCUUCUACUGUAUCUUAUAGAUCUCUCCUAGAGGAUGCAGCUAUUCAAAGGUCAGGACUAAUGUUAUUUGCUAUAAAAUGUCAUAAUUAAAUAAUUAAAAAAUAAGUAUUCUCUGAUAAAUUCAUUUUUGUUUACUGAAAAGUCCUAGUCUCUCAGGAAGUGUAACCUCUAACCCCAAGGCUUGUGUUGACUCCAAAGCAAGUAAAACAUGUUUUUUCC
ensembl:lncRNA